AUCAGAACGUGCCUGAAGCUACAGACCAACAGCACCGACACCGAGUCUUCUUCUACCGACAGACCCGCAGGACCCGGAGCUGCUGCUGCCGCCCCCUCGGGAUCAACACGGUACUGCAGCCUGAGGUUCGACACGAUGAUUCCAAUCUUCUGGGACCUCGUCAGUUCAUCAUGUUGUUCUCAUCUUGGCAACAGACGGUUCACCGACAGUAAUCUUUCUGAUGUUCAAUAAGUGGUGAAAGUGGAACGUGAGGAUUUUAUACAUUUUAUUUUCAGUUAUCAGGACAUUUGAACCAACCUUCUUCUCUAAAGAAGAACAUGAUGAACAAGAUGAAACUUCUUGGAUCUGCUGUCGUUGUCCGGGUCGACCUGAUGAUCGACGUCUCACUAACUCUGGUUUUCAUUUCCGAGCUCCUCCAUGUGGAAAAGAUGAGUCGUUCAUAACAAGCGACAUCGUCAGAAACAUGAACUAAGUUUCUGAUGUGAUACAAGAAGAAACGCUGACCCCUGCAGGUCACUUUGUAGAAGUGAUUCUACAAAGUAAAAUGAAAAUAAUAUGAUCAAACAACUGAAACAGAAAAGAACCACUCAAAAUAAUUAUUAAAAUUUAAAGUUUGAGUAAAAACUGAUUGUAAAUAAACAGGAAGUGACUCAACGUUCACA